GUCCUAAUAGUAUAUAUUAUUACUUUGGUCUUGUAAACCAAAAAUGAAGAAAUUAUCUUCUUAGGACA
rnacentral:tRNA from 1 species